UACGUAGGGGGCAAGCGUUGUCCGGAAUCAUUGGGCGUAAAGAGCGCGUAGGCGGUCCGGUAAGUCCGCUCUGAAAGUCCGGGGCUCAACCCCGGGAGGCGGGCGGAUACUGUCGGGCUAGAGUCCGGAAGAGGCGAGUGGAAUUCCUGGUGUAGCGGUGAAAUGCGCAGAUAUCAGGAAGAACACCCGUGGCGAAGGCGGCUCUCUGGAACGCAACUGACGCUGAGACGCGAAAGCGUGGGGAGCAAACAGG
rnacentral:rRNA from 1 species